AGAGUUUGAUCCUGGCUCAGGAUGCCUGCUAGCGGCAGGCUUAACACAUGCAGGUCGAGGGGCAGCGGGGAGGAAGCUUGCUUUCUCCGCCGGCGACCGGCGCACGGGUGAGUAACACGUAUGCAACCUGCCCCUGUCAGGGGGACAACCCGCCGAAAGGCGGGCUAAACCCGCGUACAUGCCACCGGGGCAUCCCGGAGGCAGGAAAGGCUUCGGCCGGACAGGGAUGGGCAUGCGGCGCAUUAGGCAGUAGGCGGGGUAACGGCCCACCUAACCGACGAUGCGUAGGGGUUCUGAGAGGAAGGUCCCCCACACUGGUACUGAGACACGGACCAGACUCCUACGGGAGGCAGCAGUGAGGAAUAUUGGUCAAUGGUCGGGAGACUGAACCAGCCAAGCCGCGUGAGGGAGGAAGGUACAGAGUAUCGUAAACCUCUUUUGUCAGGGAACAAAGGCGGGGACGUGUCCCCGGAUGAGUGUACCUGAAGAAAAAGCAUCGGCUAACUCCGUGCCAGCAGCCGCGGUAAUACGGAGGAUGCGAGCGUUAUCCGGAUUUAUUGGGUUUAAAGGGUGCGCAGGCGGUCUGUUAAGUCAGCGGUCAAAGCCCGGGGCUCAACCCCGGCCCGCCGUUGAAACUGGCAGUCUCGAGUUGGAGAGAAGUAUGCGGAAUGCGCGGUGUAGCGGUGAAAUGCAUAGAUAUCGCGCAGAACUCCGAUUGCGAAGGCAGCAUGCCGGCUCCACACUGACGCUGAGGCACGAAAGCGUGGGUAUCGAACAGGAUUAGAUACCCUGGUAGUCCACGCAGUAAACGAUGAAUGCUGGCUGUCCGGGGGGAUUGACCCCUGGGUGGCGAAGCGAAAGCGAUAAGCAUUCCACCUGGGGAGUACGCCGGCAACGGUGAAACUCAAAGGAAUUGACGGGGGCCCGCACAAGCGGAGGAACAUGUGGUUUAAUUCGAUGAUACGCGAGGAACCUUACCCGGGCUCAAACGGGGAGUGACUCAGGCAGAGACGCCUGUUUCCCACGGGACACUCCCCGAGGUGCUGCAUGGUUGUCGUCAGCUCGUGCCGUGAGGUGUCGGCUUAAGUGCCAUAACGAGCGCAACCCCCGCGUGCAGUUGCUAACAGAUAACGCUGAGGACUCUGCACGGACUGCCGGCGCAAGCCGCGAGGAAGGCGGGGAUGACGUCAAAUCAGCACGGCCCUUACGUCCGGGGCGACACACGUGUUACAAUGGGUGGUACAGCGGGAAGCCAGGCGGCGACGCCGAGCGGAACCCGAAAUCCACUCUCAGUUCGGAUCGGAGUCUGCAACCCGACUCCGUGAAGCUGGAUUCGCUAGUAAUCGCGCAUCAGCUAUGGCGCGGUGAAUACGUUCCCGGGCCUUGCACACACAGCCCGUCA
rnacentral:rRNA from 1 species